rnacentral:tRNA from 1 species
GGUCCCGUGGCUCAGCGGAAGAGCGUCCCGUUCACACCGGGAAGGUCGCUGGUUCGAACCCAGCCGGGACCACCA